GGCACAUCCUGGGCAGAGACCUGCUGCCCUGCUGUCCAAGGUCUGGCCGGACAGAGCCUCUUCCUCCUCCUGCCAGACGCCAGACCUGAGACCUUUGGGCCUGGGGAAAGGUCAGCUCACUUCCUCCCUGCCCGAGGUCUGCGGUAGAACGUGCUCCUGAAAGUGAGUCCCAAAACCCCGGAGCGGGGUUUCCCUGGCUUGGAGAAAGUCCUGCUGGGGGCUUUACUGGAGCCCACAGCCGCCGCGAGGCCAGGGGCCAGCGGGCCGGAGGGGGUUCCUGGAGACCCACAGACUUUCUCUGGGCUGAGUCCUGGAGUCGGCCCCUCCUUCCCGCCUCCCGCCCCUCCAGGCCCCUGCUGGGUGAGUGCGGUGCGCAGGGGUGUGGUUGGCUGGAGGCUGUCCUCCCUCCUGGCUGGGAAGCCUUGUUCUCUGCCUGUGGCCUCCUUUCCUGUGGCCUGAGAGCCCUUUUCUUAGGACGAGAGCUUGGGCGUGGGGUCUGCUCCCCUCUGGGAAGAGCUCCUCCUGAUCCUCAGCUAGUCACACCUGACAGCUCCUAGCUCCAAACAAGGCUACCUUCACGGGCUCAGGGCACCUGCACUGGCGGGCACUUCUCGCCCAGAGCCGGGCAGGGCUUGGGCUCCACCACUGGUCCAGCUGCCACAGUGUGGUCCUCCUGGUGUCUGCCAGUGAGACCUGUCACCCCUGUGUGCUGGGGUCUUGCCAUGGCCCUUGGGGCUGUUCUGACUCCACCUGGGGGCUCAGGGAGCUGGGGCGGAGGCUGGCAGCCUGGGAUGAGGGAGGUCCCGUCGCUACCCACCCCCCAGGCCUGACCAGCCCCUGAGCUUGUCUCCUACCGCCUUCCUGCACAGCCUCGCGCCGUGGACAGCAGGGCUGCCUCUCGUGUUGCAGGGGCAGGCAAAGUGCAGCAGCUGUGCGGAGACCGGUCGGGGCUCCUCAGCAAGCCGCACGUCCACUCCUGGGGAUGGGCACGCACAACAGAAAUGGGAACAGGCGGCCGGGCAAAAGCCCGCACCAGGCUGCUGACAGAUGGCAGCAAUGGCCCGAGCGUCUACUGACAAAUGAAGGGAGGGCAUCGUCACGCUGAUGCUCCAGGGGGCCUGGGCAGCGUCCUGGUGGACGGAGGGGCAAGGCAUGCCGUAGUCCCGCCCACACGGAAAGCACAGAAGGCAAACGCCCAGAGAAGGAAAGUGGGUGGUGGAGUCUCGGUCUGAGGGUGGAAGUGAGGUGGACUGACUGCCGAUGGGUCUCCCUGGGGAGGGGAGAAUGUUCUGGAACUAGAGAGGGCAGUGGUUGCCCAAUAGUGAGAGUGCCCUGACUUGUGCAUUGUAAAAUGUUAAACAGUCGAUUCCACGUCCUCGGUCUUUUACUUCCCGAAAAAUCAACCAGCAAGUGGCGACACUGCACCCUUUCUUGGAUCCCAGCCUGGGGUCAGAAUUCUGGCCAGGUCCUCUGCUCAGGAAUCAGGGGUUGACCCCAAAUGUCACCAGUCUGCUCUCUCUGGGUGCUCAGGACCCCUCUUGACUCAUUCAGUGGUCAGCAGAAUGUGGAUGCCGGAUGGAGGUCCCCUUCCUGCCUGCACUCCUGUGCUGGGGGUCACUCUCGGGCCUCUCCUGGGCCCGUCCCUCCAGGAGCCAGCUGUGGUACAUGAGAUCUCUGGCCUCCUCUUCUCUACCCGGCAGAGGAAGUACUGCUUGUCAAGCACCGGUGUGUCGGGAGGCCUGUCCAGGCCUCCUCCCUGCUUGUUCUAAGGUCAGCUCAUGAGGGACCCUAACCCACCUUCCCAGUCCCUCUGACCUGAAUGUAACGACCGAGGUGCAGCACUGACCGCAGGACUCUGUUUCCAAGUGCCCUGUUGUCCCUUCCACCGAGCCAUGUCCACGGCAGGUUUCUGAGAAGUGCCACUGGUCACCUGGGCUCCCGUUGGGACACAGGCACUGGCUCAGGUUUGGGUGAGGCCCGCGCAGGGCAGCCUGCUCCAGAACUGGGAGGCGGGGAUCCCUGAUGUGCUUCAGGGUGCCAACGGCCCUGCCCACGAGGCCCACAGUGAGGGGUGGGGUCUGGGGAAGCGCGGUAGGGUGCGCCUGGCCCCCUGCCAGCCCCGUGGCAGCUUUUCAAUACUGGCUUUCAGACUUCUCUGCCAGGGGCUUGACCUAACUGCCUUCGCGCUACACAGACGGAGCCCUGGGGGCCGAGUGGCUGCGGGUGGGAAGGCCCAGGGUGGUGUCCAGGGGCCGGCAAGGGAGGCGAGAAGGGAGGGGCUGCCAAGGAGGGACACAGAUGGCCUUGGCCCGUCUCCCUGGGUGGGCCCACUGCUCCUGGCCUGGGCUCAGACAGGCUCCUGCUGCCUCUCACGCUUGACAUUUGCUGGUGACAUGUAGGAGGGGCUGCGGGCAGGGUCCCCACCCUCCCUGCAGAUGAUGGUGUCUGGUUAUACAGCCAUUUCCUUGGGAAAGAAAGUGACCCGGGGGAUUCCUUUUUACUUACACCAUCUUGCCAAACUUCAACAUCCUGACUUGAAAGCACCGCUUGAAGCUCAGUGCCGAGGUUGACCUUGGCCUGCCCCACGGGCUUGUCCUAGAGAAGCAGAGGGGUCCGGCUCUGCUGACCUCUGCUGUGAGUCCGCUGACUUGCGACUGGUCUGCCCUCAGCCCUCGCCAGGCCCCUGGCCGCCCCUUGCCGCUCUGUUCUUGGGCCCUGAUCUUGAGUCACCUCCUGUUUUCCUGGGUAGUUAAUGUUGAGUUGUCUCCUCAGGAAGGGACGGUCCCUCGGGCAGCUUCUGAGCCACUGUGUAGCUGAGGAUGUCUUUCUGUUGCCUGGACACACACCACAGUGACCCACCGUGACCCAGCAGGAAGCAGAAGUCCAGUGUGCAGGGGUGGGGGGCUGUGGCCUGUAACGGGGGAGCCCCUGGGCGCUCGAGUCCCCUGGGCCCUGGUCCGAGGCCCCCACUGGAGGGGCGAGGGAUACCGGGCUGGUUCUCCUCACCUUGGCUGAGACCCAGGGAGCCCAUGUCCACUGAGGUUUCCUCCGUGGCCUGAGUGUGGGUGGGCUCGCUUCCGAGUGCUCCUGUCUCCCUACUGGAGUCCACCGUCUACCCUGCACUGUCCUCUCCUGCCAGGGCAGGGGCGCUGGGCGUGGCCAUGGGGUGCCGUCAGGAGCCGGGUCUCUUAGGCUCAUGGACAACGAGCAGCCAUUUCCUGCCUCAGUCUCCCCACCUAUGGUGACAGCCCUCCCUCAAGGACAGGUGUGAGGUGAAGGCCGUUGCACACACACACAGGCACCUGGUGGGCAGGUGUGAGGAGAAGGCCACACACACACACACACACGGGCACCUGGUGGGCAGGUGUGAGGAGAAGGCCACACACACACACACACACACACACACGGGCACCUGGUGGGCAGGUGUGAGGAGAAGGCCAUCGCACACACACACGGGCACCUGGUGGGCAGGUGUGAGGAGAAGGCCACACACACACACACACACACACACACAUGGGCACCUGGUGGGCAGAUGUGAGGAGAAGGCCAUCGCACACACACACGGGCACCUGGUGGGCAGGUGUGAGGAGAAGGCCACACAUACACACACACGGGCACCUGGUGGGCAGGUGUGAGGAGAAGGCCACACAUACACACACACGGGCACCUGGUGGGCAGUGGUGGGAGCUUUGCUCACUUUGCUGGUGGUCAUGAAACGAGGACAGCAGACAUUCCUGUGCUCCAGGCCCACCCAGGUGUGACGUGCAGGUGUGCUGGGGUGACACUCCCGCCUCUCCUGAGGGGGGGGAUAUGGGGAAGAGGGCUGUUCCCUGACCCACCGCUCCUGUCCACAGGAUGCCGUCCCUGACCUUGGGCCCGGGUGGGCGCCAGGCCCAGGAAGGCCGGUCAGACCCCUUCCUCAGGCUGAGAAUCUGCAGCUCAGCCCACCUUCUCCAGACCUCUGCUGAGGGACUGGAGGUCCCUGGCACUAGACGGCCUCAGCCCCAGUCCCAGGACUAGAUCAAGGGGACUGGAGGCGACCGGGUGGUGUCCAGUCUCUGAGGAAGCAGGGACAGAGUCCAGGUGGGUGGGCCCACUGCUCCUGGCCUGGGCUCCGACAUAGGCUCCCUGCUGCCCCUCUCGCCCCAGGACAGGUCUUUCCCUGCCGUUGGAGGCCUCCGACAGCCUGGUGCCCAGACUGUGGCAGCCCAUCCUCCUGGACCUGCCAGACCCGGGCUGUGCAGCAGGCAGCCCACUACCAGAGCCCCCUGGACCUUCACUGCUUUGAGAGCACCCAGGUGUCAUGAAGGUCCUGCCGUCCGUGGCGUCAGCUCGCCCGCCUGCCCCUGGGUUUGGUUUCUGCCUUCGAGCGCCCUGCAGAGCCUGCCGUGGAGAUAAGUUCUGACAUAUUGUGGAAUCCGGCAUUUAAAAAGUGAUUAUGAUUUCACACUUGUACACGUGUCCCAAUGCCUCCGCGGUUUGACACUCAGAAGCCGUGAGCCAAGCUUCCUCGCCACUCGGGCCUUCUGUCUCUUCCUCUCCCUCACCUCAUUCUCUCCUGCCAGAGCUAGAGUCACCCAGAUGUAUUCUAGUCUUGAAUGUGUUUUCCCGACCGCUGUCUUACUUUUCUGCAACAAAUUACACACUAGGAGAACCAGAGCCAGAGACGUUCACUGUCACCACGAGGCUCUGGGUGUAAGAUUUUUUCUGAAUUAUAAGCAGUGCAAUAAUUAAUAUGCAUUUGAUGAAAACAACCAGCAAAUGUCGACAUUAGAUAAAUAACCCCCCACUGGGGAUUGAGCUCAGGGGUGCUUAACCACUGAGUUAUAUACCCAUACCAUACCCAGUCCUUCUUAGUUUUUGAGACAGGGUUUUGGUUGCUUAGGGCCUUAGUCGCUGAGGCUGCACUUGAACUUGUGAUCCUCCUGCCCCGGCCUCCCCAGCCCCUGGGAUGACAGGUGGCGCCUCCACCGCUGGCUGAUGUCUGAAUGUGAGAGGCAGAUUGUUGGGGAAGCGUCUCCUCGCACGGCCUGUUUUUCCUUACUGUCUGGACUUGGUUAUGGCUAGAAUCACCGGAGCUCAGCAGGGCUGGGUCUCUCCUUGGUUCUACAAAGGGAAAUGGAUGGAGUUUUAUGGUAGCAGAAAAAGAAAGAAAGAGGAAUCAAGCCUCUGAGUCCUUUCCUAGCCAUGUUCCAAACACCCCGUGACAGGUGACGAGGCGGAUCUGCCAGGUGGGCUCAGCUGCCCUGUCCUCAGAGUCCCUGGGAAGUUCCUGACACAUGUGUGGCCGUGCAGCGGGCGUGGUUUCCGGGAAGCCCUCCAGGAGCCCCCCCGGCGGUGGCCACACCGUUGGGGUCCCUGCACCCGUGGCCGCCGGCUUGCCCCGACUGCUCUGCAGCGCAGGGAAGCCAGGGUUUCCCGGGACGGGCGUCUCCCCUGGCAUCGCCGCACAGUGGUACAAUGCCAUCCCCUGCCUCGAGUGCACUUUGUUGACAAACACGGAGCUCCAGGUUCCACGGCCUCGCGAGGGGCAUGUCACCAUGGCGCUCACCGACACGGUGGACACUCAAGGUUUCUCUCAGAGAAGCUGCAGAUGGGCUUGUCUGCUGCGCUCGCGUGGGAGGUGGGUCCCAGGAGCCGUGGCGGGCCGUCUGCACAGCAGGCCCGCGGCAGCACCAGGGUCGGCAGCACCAGGCGUCACCGCGUGGCCAGGGUGAGCCGAGCUGGCGGUGCGCUGUCCCCUGGCUCCCUCCCGUCUUCAGUGGCAGUGUGAUGAGUGUCGGGGUCCUGGGGUUCAGUGUGUGUGUGGGGGUGUGUGUGAGUGGGUGCAGGGCGGGGCUUUCCCCUGAGAGUCUCCCAGCGGGAGGGAAGGGGCUGGCGGGUUUGUUAGUGGAUUCUCUGAGUAAGAUGUGGGUUUUGUCCUGGGCAGCUUGGGACCUCAGCUGAGCAGGUCACCUUGUCCCCACACUUGUCGGUGCCCGAGUUGCUGGCCUGUGCCGUCCCUCCCUGCCCAUCACCCUCAGCAGCACGGUGGAGAGGGGCUGAGAUGGCUCACCUGGUGCCUGGGAGGCGGGGCCAUCACACCCUGCUCACCUGUGGCUCCGGAGCCCCACUGCCCCUCUGUAAAACCCCACCCUGUCACCUGGGAACCCGUGACACCUGCUAGGACCCACAGAGCCCCGUCCAGGGUGGGCUCAUCCUUGAUGAGGACAUGUACUGUGGCCAGUGCUGGUCACUGGGGGGACCUAGAGAUGGAGCUGGGGCACUGGGUGCACAGGCUCUUGGCAAGACCCCUUGGGAAGCUGAGGCUCUAGUGCCUGGUCCCCAGCCUGCCGGGGGGAAGUGCUUGGUACUUCCCCGCCCCCGUGUCAAGGCCACCAGCCCAGAGCCCCCUCCACCCUUGGAUUGAGCCCCUCCUCCCCUCGCCCCCACUCUGCUCACCUGACCUCAGCAUAGCCUGCUCUACGCAGGGUCUCCACAUCACAGCCUUUAAACUCAGGCACACCCCCAGAGGGGCCAGGGUCUUGGGCACCUGAGACAUUGCAAUCUUUUUUUAGUUAAUUUAAUAAGUUAUUUUUUGGUGGCACUUGGGAUGGAACCUAGGGUCACUCUUGCACUAGCUAUGUCCCCAGCUCUUGUUAAUUUGAGAAAGGGUCUUGCUGAGUUAUCCAGGCUGGCCUUGAAGUUGCCAUCCUCCUGCCUCAGCCUCCAAAGUAGCUGGGCAGGUGUGCACCACCACACCCAGCAGCCAUCUUUUCUUUGUGGUAAUCGAAUCAUUUGUUUAAUUAACUAGUAAUAAUAACGGUGAUUCGUCUCUAAAGACACAGUGAGGAGCUCAUAAAGAAAGCCCUCUGUGGCUGCACCCACUCCGCCCUGAGGGGGCCCCUGCCAGGUCCUUGGCUGUGUUGCCAGGGUCACCUCUGCUGUUGUUUAUUUUCUUUAAUUCUCAGAUACUUCACCUUCCACUAGAAAACUUUGAUCUGAGUUAACAAGAUCUAUGUGUAGUGGGCUGAAUCAUGGCCCCAAAGAGAUCCACGGCUCCAUCCUGGAACCUGUGAAUAUGGGCCCCACACCUUGGGACGUCCUAGCCGGUGGGACUGACUUAGGGACGGAGAUGGGGACAUUAGCUUCGGUGAUCCUGGUGGGCUGAAGUCAUCACCGGGUCCCUGUCAGAGGAAGGCCCGAGAUGUGAGGCAGGAGCAGAGGCCAGAGCAGGGGAGCCACACUGCUGCUGGGGUGAUUAGGAUCUGGACUGUCCUCAGAGUCUCCUGGGUGCAGAGGGGGCUUUGGGGAAGUGGCUGGAUCACGGGGCUCUGACCUCAGCAGUGGAUUCGCCCACUGAUGGCUGGGAGAGUCCUGGAGCGGGGACCUAGUUGGAGAAGUCAGCCUUGGGAAGCCCUAGGAGGUUCCGUCUUCUCCGCCCUCCCCCACUUCUGCCCUUCCCGGCUGCCGCGAGCCGAGCGGGUCUGCUCCUCCAGCUCCUCACGUCGGGUUCAAAGCAAUGGAGUCAUCUGACCAAAACUCUGAAGCCACGAGCCAUAAUCGAUCUUCCCUCCUCUAAGUUGUUUUCAUCAAGUAUCUUGGUCACAGUGACCGAGUGUUGACUGAUACAGAAAAUUGGUUCCAGAAGUGGGGUCAUCGUUGUGACUAUGUGAACCCCUGGCGCUGUGGUUUGGAAGCCUUUGGAACUGGUUUGUAGGAGGAGUUUGGAAAAGUCGGAGAUGCAGGCUGGAGAUUCUCCUUCGAAUGUAAGGAGAACUUAGUGGGUGAUUGUGACGGGACCCCAGAAUUCAGAAUGCCAGGAGGAACGCAGACAGUAAGACUGUGCUCAGGAACCUUCGCAUGGGACGAGGUCUCUGCUGGGAAUUGGACCAGAGGCCGUUUGUUACAUCCUGGAAAAUAACUUCUCUCCAUUUUGCCCGUGUUCUGAGACUUUCUGUGAGGCUGAAUUUAAGGUGAUGGACACAUCAGCGGAGGAGAUUUCAAGGCAGCACCCAUUGAGAUGUUGGCGUAGAUAUUGUGGGCAGCUUGGGGCCAGAUUCACCAUGAGAACUGGAAGCAGAAAACAGAGGGAAAAGGCUUAAAAACUAGCAGUUUGGCCAGAAAAGCAUCGAAAGUUGGGGCCAAGGAGGAUGCAGGUGCUCAGGAGAGUAGAUAAAAGAGAAGCCCAGAACGUCGCACAGGGCACAGGGAUGGUGGGAAAGUGGCCCUGAGGGCAACUCAAACAUCCAGGCCACACCCACUUGCUCCAAAGUAGAAAAGGGUCCACUGGUUUGAAAGGCGCUGCUUGGAGGGGAGAGCACCAGUGCUGCCCAGGAAGUCAUCUCCCCAGGCACUCAGAGGCGGCUGCAGCCGUGGCCCCAGGGGGCCUGGCUGCUGCUCGAGCUGGUGACAGACCUUGGCAUCGCCCAUGUGGUCUGGUUCUGCAAGACGCUGGAGUCUGGGGGUCAUGAAGGCUUCCACUGAGAUUUUAAGGAAGGCCCGCAAGGGGCAGACACCGUGUUUCAGGGUCCUCGCUGGCAGUCCCUGACAGGGUGAUGUGUGAAGCUGAAAACUGAGGCUGUGAUGGAGAAGCCAAGAAGUCAGAGGUGCCGGGAAGGCGGACUGUUUGCAGAGGAGAACCAGGCAGUGAGCAGAGCCAGCACAAGAGAGCCGCACAGGCAGGGCUUCCCCAGCCCCGUGGGACCCACACUCCACCUCCAAGGGUCGUGGAGCCCAACGUGGAGCCACAGGACUUGGUGUUUGCCUGCUGAGUUUUGGUCUGUUUUGACCCCGCCCUUUCUGACUAUGCCUCUAUUCCUUCCUUUGGGAAUGGGAAUGUUCUGCGUGCCGUUUUAUGUUGUAUCUAAGUAACUUGCUUUGGAUUCUGGGGCUCACAGCCAGAAGGUUGCCUUGAGUCUCCGAGGAGAUCUUGGACUUGGUUUUUUGAGCAGUGGAGGGACUGUUGAGACUGCGGGGACCCUGUGGGUGGACUAGACACAUUCUGCACUGUGUGAUCAUCAGGAGACCCUGGGGCCAGGGAUGGAAUGUGAUGGGUCGUAUCUGGAAUGUCCCCAGAGUCUCAUGCGAGCUGGGGACGGGGGAGUAGUGAUGGGAUCACGAGGCUCUGACCUCAGCAGUGGAUUAAUCCGCUGUUGGCUGAAUGGAUGACCGAGCCCAAAGUGGAGGAAGGAUGUCACUGGGGUGUGCCUUGGAAGGGUCUCUCAGGCCUCUCUUAAGAGCCCACAUUUAUAGAAAGCUAAAUAAGAACCAGAGUGAUUGAUGAUUCAAGUUGUGUACUAAACCACAGCUUGCAAAACACAUCUUAGCAGAUGCCAUGGCCCCCAGCCACAGCUUUGAAGCCCAUAUUUAUUUGGCCACUUGAGAGGGCAAGAGCCCUCUCUGGCUCCCUGCGGAGGAGGUUUCGACACGGCUCUGCUGCCCUGGCAGCUGUGGAGUGAACCCUCCCCGCCAAGCACUGCGGCCUCCGCCUCCCCGUGGUGAUGGCUGCCCCGGGAAGGGCCUGAGACCAGGCAGGGAGCAGGCCCGGGCGCCUUCCGCCACAUCACUGGGGCCUGUGGGGUCCCCUCAAAGGAAACCCAAGUCUUGAGGAUGUGUCUGUGCAGGCCGAGGGAGCCCCGAGAAGCACCUGGGUGUCACAGUCCCCUCCACAUACAGCCUCCCAUGCCCCUCAGGCCUCUCUCAGCUGGAGGAGUCAGUGGGCACACUGCUCUGGGCUUGCUCCUUCUCAGUGCAAGCCCCUUGGAAGCGGCUGUCAGCGGUGGCUGUGGUCAUGGCUACCAUUCUUGCUGCAUCUCACAGCAAAACAAAGUUGAUCCGUGAUGGCCGGGAAUAAAAGACUGACAUCUCCCACAUGGUGUCGGGCGGGAAGUUUCCCAGGCCAGGCCUAGACAGAGCAGCGCCCACGGAAUGUCCCUGAGCCUGAUGGGGCACUCGGCACCAUCCUGAGCGGCUGAGGAGCCAGAGGCCCUCAGAGCCACUGACAGCCCCCUUCUGCCCAGGAGCCUUGGGGUCAUGGGGCCCUUCUCCUGUGGCUAUCUUCUCCUCUUCUGAGGACGCCAGCUGUGUUGGACCAGGGCCACCCUGAUCCUAUGACGGCGCCUAGGCUGAUGGCCUUCGCAAGACUCCACCUCCCAGGAAGUCAGCCUCAGGCACGGCAUUUGUGACCUCAGCUGACCUCCGGGGGCACAACUCCACCCCGACAUGUCUUCUCACUCAUUGAGGGUCCCCUCUCCAGAGCCCUCCUGUUGUUCUCUGGACUGCUGGCUCUCUGCAGCGGUGAAGGGGCCACCAGGCUCUCUGCCCUCGUCCUGAGAGCUGGAGAGCCUGCUGUGGGCCCAACCCCUCUCAGCUCCUUGGAGGCCUCCUCAUUUUGCUGAAGCAUGUCCUGGAGAAGGCACGAGGGCGCACCUCUCCCAGUCCCCGGGAGCCUGGACACCUGCCAUCCACUUCCAUGCCUGCUGGACAGUUUGGCUGGGGAUGAAAUCCUCAGCAGAAAACCUUCUGAGGGCAUUGCUGGGGCUGCCCACCCACUCCAGCAGCUCCACCUGCCCAUGGCGGGGAGCCUGAUGACAACUUCGUUUUCAAGGAUGAGGGAGAUGUUCCUCAGAAAUAUUUAAGAGUCUCCCUUUUUUCCCCUUCAUUUUCUGAAAUUCACAAUAUUUUAAUUCAUUAUUACUACUCAUGGUUGUGGCUCCUUUUCAACUGGACCUUUUGGCCUGAAAAUUCACAUCCCUUCAAUUCAGAAACUUCGGUUUCUGUGUCAGGCAGCCUUGUGUUACUAUAACAAAACCACCAAGGCAGGCUGUUUUAUAAAACGGUUUAUUUUAGCUCAUGGUUCUGGAGGUCCAAGGUCAAGGGGUUGCCUCUGGUGAUGGCUUUCCUGUUGGCAGAGUCCUGAGGCAGCACAGAGAAUCCCAUGUCGUGUGUGUGUGUGUGUGUGUGUCCUCUGGUCUCCCUCCCUAUUUUAUAAAGCCACCAGGACCCAGUCAUAGGGGCCCCAGCCUGUGGCCUUGUCUAAUCCUGAUCCCUCCAAAGCCCCCACGCUCAGCACCGGGUGGCCUUUCCAUCCUCCUGAUACCUCACGGUGGUGACUGAAUCUCAGCAGGGUGCCAUGGGGGACACCCAAGCCCCCCAAACCACAGCGCUCUGCCCCGUCCUGCCUGGGUUCUCUGGCUGGGGUCCUGCUGGCCACACACCCAGCCUCGGCCUGUCUGGCUUCCUGUCUUCUCUGUCAGAUGCCCUUGUCCCUGCCUCCCCACUGUCCCCUGAGUUUCAGUGGUGGCUACACUUGAACCUCCAGCUCUGUCUUGGGCCUGUGCUGCGUGGUGGGGGCCGCCUCUCCUCUGGAGCCGUAAGCAGCAGGGGUGCUGCGGCCAGCACUGUCCACCAUGACUCGCCUGUUUCUUCCAGGGUCCAUAGUUUCCCUCUCGCCCCGUCUGCCUCAUGUCACCAGGCACUCACUGGUGGCCUGCUCUCUGGUAACCACACACGAGGAUCCCCUGAGACUUAGGCACAUAAUGCUGGGGUGCAGGAGAGGCCUCAAUUCUAGAACCUGGGUGGCCUCGCAACACGGGUUCCUUUAACUCAGAAUCAGAACCCGCCACUAUAGACCGAAUGUCUGCGUCCCCAGUUCACAUCCGGGGGCAUCUAUGCCCCCAGGGGCUGGUGUUGACGUGGGCCUGCAGGAGGUGACGAGGUCACGAGGAGAAAUCCUGAUGGGAGACCCAGAGCUGUCCUCUCUCUGCUGUGUCAAGGCACAAGGAGAAAGUGGCCAUCCACAAUCCUCCCCAGACACGGACCUGCCGGCACCUGGACCUCGGACGUCCAGACAGAACCAGGAGAAACAGUUGCUGGUGUUGAACGGCGAGGGGACAGGCGCCGGGGUGGGGGCAGGAGGGAGGGACUCAUUCUAUGAGUGGCCCACGUGCUGACCCUCACGAGCCUUCUUUGUCAGAAGCACUUACCUGCAGCCCUGCCUGGCUGGAGUGGACCCAUGAGGAGACACAGUCCCCAGCACACGACCUGUUAUCUGCUGGAGAAACGCAGGCGCAAAAUCAUGUCGAUAAGCCUACCCCGAAGGGCUUUUGUGACCAGAUCUAGGAGCUCAGGAUAUUAAGGAUAAUUCUUCCUCACCAUAAAAUCUGAAAUGAUUUAUGUUAAGAAUCCAAUUAGAGCCAGGAACAGUGGUGCACGCCUGUAAUCCCAGUGGCUCGGGAGGCUGAGGUAGGAGGGUCACAAAUUCAGACCCAGCCUCAGCAAAAGUGAGGCACUUAGCAACUCAGUGAGACCCUGUCUCUAAAUAAAAUACAAAAUAGGGCUGGGGAUACGGCCGAGUGCCCCUGGGUUCAGUCCUCAGUACCCCGCCCCAGGAAAGAAAUCCAGUUACUAGUGGUCAGUGUGAGACAAGGUGACUAGGGUUGUCAUGGCCGUGGGGACUUGAAAGUCUGAUGUCAUCCUGCUGUCAAUCAAAAGUCAAGAGGUGGACCUGGGUGGGACUUUCUGGAAACUUCUCUGGACUGCCCCAAUAAAACUGGAGUGCAAGAGUGGCACGCUGUCCCUCUCCUCUCUGAGAGGAGCCCCUCUCCCUUGAGAGUGUCCCUGCUGCCCUUUUCUGCCCCUUUGAUAAACUCAUGCCCAUUACUCUGAGUGACAAGCCUGAAAUCUUUCUGACUUGAUCACAAGACGCAGGGUUUGAGGCGGGGCAGGGGACGGUCCUUGAGCUGCCUCAGUGUGUGGAAGACCCCAGCUCUGUACAGAACCACCCUCGUCGCCAUGCCUUGUGACAGCCGCCUGAGCCGGGCCAGGACUGUCACCUCUGUAGCCACCUGCAGAGCCUGACAGAGCAGGGGUCUGGAGAAAAGACCCCAGGUAGUGGGGGGGGGUGUGCCUGAACCCAGAGUGUCCCUGUCCCUUGGCCUCCCACCAGCCCCUUUGCCCUCUGGCCAAGCUGGACACAGCCAUCUGUGCGGCCAGCUCAGGAGGCCAGAACACAGUGUGGGCUCCAGGCCGCAGGAAACAUCAGGUAGGGGUGUCGCGAGGAGCACUGGCCGUCAGGUAGGGGUGGUGCCUCUCUGCAUUGGCCGGCACAGACACGGCUGUCCAGCUGCCAGGGCUGGAAGUCCUCACUGCGCUCCACCCUGGAUCCCUGGCCGCCUCCAGCUGGGCUGCCCUGCCCUCCCUCCUCCCCUCUCCACCAGAGUGACUAAUAGCCCGCUCCCCUGGGUGUAGGCACGUCUGCUCCCAGGCCCUCCUGCCCCUGCACAUCUGCAUUGAAUCCAGCAUGACGCAGCGCAAGGGGGGGCCGUGGGGGAACAUGGGGGCAGUGGGGGCUGUGGGGGCUUNNNNNNNNNNNNNNNNNNNNNNNNNNNNNNNNNNNNNNNNNNNNNNNNNNNNNNNNNNNNNNNNNNNNNNNNNNNNNNNNNNNNNNNNNNNNNNNNNNNNNNNNNNNNNNNNNNNNNNNNNNNNNNNNNNNNNNNNNNNNNNNNNNNNNNNNNNNNNNNNNNNNNNNNNNNNNNNNNNNNNNNNNNNNNNNNNNNNNNNNNNNNNNNNNNNNNNNNNNNNNNNNNNNNNNNNNNNNNNNNNNNNNNNNNNNNNNNNNNNNNNNNNNNNNNNNNNNNNNNNNNNNNNNNNNNNNNNNNNNNNNNNNNNNNNNNNNNNNNNNNNNNNNNNNNNNNNNNNNNNNNNNNNGGGGGCUGAGGGGGAACAUGGGGGCCGUGGGGGCUGAGGGGGCUGAGGGGGAACAUGGGGGCCGUGGGGGCUGAGGGGGCUGAGGGGGAACAUGGGGGCCGUGGGGGCUGAGGGGGCUGUGGGGGCCGUGGGGGCUGAGGGGGAACAUGGGGGCCAUGGGGGCCGUGGCCGUGGGGGCUGAGGGGGCCGUGGGGCCGUGGGAGCUUUGUGGGCCAUAGGGCCAUGGGGACCGGGGGCUGUGGGGGUCAGGGGCCAUGGGGGCAGUGGAGGCCGUGGGGCCGUGGGAGCCGUGGGCGCUGGGUAGGUAGCAGGGACUCUUCAGCUCAUCCUGGGACCCAGCGGCUUCUCUGAACCAGAGGGAUGAUACACAAUCUGCCUCUAGCUCUCCCUGUGGAGCAUGCAGUAGGUGCCUAAUGAAUGCUUAGAGAUGGGUGGCCAAAGCCCUCAGGACCUUCGGCUGGCGAGUGCUGGCCAGGUGGACAUCCUGUGCCGAGGGGAGGGAUCGCUUCUGUUUGCUUCGCUGGGAGCCAUGGACACAGGGCUUGACCCUCAGCCACAGUCAAGAGUGCAGACUUGGAAUGUGCUUCUCUGGGAAAUGAGCCCCAGCGUCCCCGGCGUCUGGGGCUCCUGCAGGCCUUGCAGAUGUUGGGGAAGAAGGAACACACAUGGGUGUCCUGUAAAUCCCUGGGUUCAGAGGUCCCAGUCCACUACAGCCCAGCUCCGAGAGAAUGCCCAGCCCCUGGGGCCAUGGCCGACCCCAGCCAGACUCUGCUGAGCCCUGAGACCACCUGAGUGCCCAGCAGAGGGCAGGGGCUCCAGCCUGGGCCACGGGGGAUGGGCCAGUGUCAAGACACGGCCCACUGCCCAUUGAGGAGGUGCAGCAGGCCCCAGGGCUGCACCGCAGGAGGAUGGACUUAAGGAUGGGUGGAGAGGAGGCUUGUGGGGCCACCAAGAGGGGCCACACUCCAACCCAGACCUCCCGGCACGUGCACACGCUUGGUCACAAAGAGCAACUGAGUCAACCACGAGGCCUCACGGCCAGGAGCACAGAGGGACCGUGUGCGCAGAGCAGAACACAUCAGCAAUGAGGAAAUCAGCCCUGUGGUCAGCCUGCCCAGUCGCAGCCCAGGGGCGGGCUGGAAACACCCCUCCGCCCUCUGUCUGCCGUGCUGAUCUGACCACGCCGCGUGCCUGGCCUGCACAGCUCCGCUGCCCGAUGCCCACACUGCACCGUCUCAGAGCGAGCCUCCUCUCUCAGGGAGGUCAGCCUGGCCUUGCUUUCACCUGUCCUGAGAUUCCUUGUCACGAUGACGACAAGGACCCUCAUGGCCUGAGUUGAGGUCCAUCUCCCUUCAGGGGACCUCCUCAGGACCCUUGCCCCUGGGACACAGCUGCUCCUCAACAGCACAGCAGAGGGCUGGGCCUUGCCGCAGAGUGACCAGGAGGUGGGCACCAGCUGCCCAGCAGGACAGAGGGUACCCAGUGGGGGGAGGGCCAGCCCAGUGUACCUGCCCACAGCUGUGGGAUCCAGCUGCUGCCCUGUCCUCUGAUGUCAUCCUGCUCCACAGGUGACUCCCCCACCACAUCACGCCUCCCCAGCCUCCCUCCCUGCCCCACCAGGCUGCCCCCACCUCUGCCCUCUACAAACCUGGGGUUGCCCCCGAGCCCGCACCCCUGUGGACCUCUGUAAAGUGGGCGGCUCGUUGCCAUCCAUCAGACCAGGGAGGCCUGCCCUGUGCCGGGCUCUGCACCCCACACACCCUUGACCCACCGUCCCCAAGGACAGAGUCUGUGGGUCUUUGCUGGAGGUGCACGGUGGGGUGGGGGAGGGGCCCCCAUCAUGGGCACUUCGUGGACAGUGGCGGCUGCAGAGAACACAGGUGCACAGGACAGGUCCCGGCAGGGCAGCACACCACGCCACAAUGGCCACAGAGCAGGAGGGCGUGGUGGGCAGUGGGGACCCCAAAGUGAGCAGGCACCCCAUCCCUGAAGGGCCAUUGCUCCACGUACGCUCGUGUCUUUUCCUUCUCCCUUGACCUCGCCAGCAUCUGACCGAUUUCCCCCCAAACACGUGCCAUCCUUUUCUCUCUGUGUGACAGUCAUGACUUGAUCCCUUCACAGGUCAUCUUUGAGCAUGCGUGACUUGGGACCGUGAGAGCUCCUGGGUAUGAGGCGGCCCCUUGGAGCAGAUCUGCGCCCCUGCCCAGUCCUACUUACUCAUGAUUUCAGAAAGUCAACAAGUCAAAGUGCUCGCAGAGGAACAGGCUCAGGUCCCACAAGGCGUGUCAGCGUUAAACCAAAAGGGAACUGGCCCUGUGAGCAGGCUGGUUCUGGUCUGGGGGCCCCGGAUGUGCGGCCUGUGGAGGAGACACACGCGGGUGAGCUCAGGAAACAGCGGUGCCAGCACAGGAAGGCCACUGCAAAUGGGGGUCGGUCCGAGUCCCUUCAGGAUGUGGCCGUGGGUUUACCCUGCGCCAUGGCUGCCCCCCGUUUCCCCACUGGCUGUAGCCCUAGGCAGUGGCCAGCCGAGGCUCUGCCCCCUGUAGCUGGGCAUCCCCAGCCCCCCGCCUCGUGCCAGCCUGCACAUCCUCACGCCCACAGCCAGCCCCGCCCCUUCCCACCAGCAACGGCAACAACAGCAGUCACCAUUCUAGGGUCCAAGUGACAGGCUGGGCUUGGGGGGCCCUGCAGGCCUGCAGAACCUCAGCCUGAGUGCCCAGGGUUGUGCCCUUUCCUCUCGAGGACGCCUGUCCCAGGGUGUGCAGCUGACCGCCUCGGUCAUCCUUACAGCUGCAGGCCUGGUGUCCUGAGGCCGAUGAGCCGUUGACCCCUGCCUCCCGAAGCCCCACCGAGCAUUCUGCUCAGAAAGGGACUGGCCACCCAAAUAUCUAGCGGUUGCUGCUCUGAGCCCAGCAGCCCUGAACCGGCAGGGCGUGGCCUAAAACGGUGUGCGGGUGGCUGGCCAAGCACCUGUGCUGUGGCUGCUGUCCCCCCCUGAGCCGGCCACGCACCUGCCCGCUCCGCUCCUCUGGGGGCGUCUCCACCCCCAGGAAAGAAUGGGGCCCUCUGAGCAGGGAGCUGUGGCUGGGGAGGUGUCACUCCUCCGGUCCUUUGUCAGGCUUAGGCUUGGGAGGCAACAGUAGCCGGGCCACAUGUAGAACAGCCACCACCUGCAGCCCGGGGACAGAGGGCUCAGGCACAGCGUGCAUCCAGGGACACGGAGGCAUGGCUCAGACCAGGGCUUCUCACCUGCGGUGACUUUGAAUUCCAGAGGAUCCUUGGCAGACUCCAGAGACGCUUCACGUUGUCACUCUAGUCCGGUGGCAGUGGGGACGCUGUUCACACCUGCAUGCACUUAUCCUCUGUGUCCCUCCUCCAUCCCUCCUCCAUCCUGCCCUCCUGUCCUGGGAGGCACAGGUUUGCUCCUGGAGCUUAAGGACGGACCCCAGAGGACACAGUGCCAGUGACCACAUCAAGGGUGCACGCCCAGCUCAGCGCCACACCUGCUAGCCCUGAGGACCUGAAGGGUGUCAGGCUGGUGACUCCUGGGGCUCCCUGCUGACUGGACCUCCUGCAGAGGCCCUGGGGUCCUGACACCGAGCCUUGGGCAUGGAAGGACUGGGGCCUCAGGUCAGGUUUGCUGGAGACAAGGGCUUCAAGGGGCCUGAGGCCCUGGGAGCUGGGUGGGUGCCUGAGAGGAGGGGCCACCAGGGCUGGUGAAUGGACACUGAGAAGGGCCACAACAGGGCCUCUCGGAGAGCCAGAGAGGGAGAAGGGAGGGUAGUGGAGGCCGGCUGUAGAGGAGGCCCAGCCGUGGGAGGCCGGGGCCUACGGAAGCCCUCCUGCACACCCGGGCUUCCCAGGACGGACAGGCUCUGGCAGGUCGUCUGGAGUUGUGUCCGACCACUCAGGAGUCAGGAGAUCGGGGAAGAAGGUUCCCCAUCCUGUUCCACCUGCAGGGUCAGGCCACCCACUCACCUCCAGGGGAAACAGGCAUGACUCAGAGCCCAGGCCUCUGCCCACACUGGUGGCAGUUACCCACAGCCCACAGCUGGCAGGUCUCAGACCGCUAAGAACGGAGCCCUCGGCUCGCCCACUGGCUGGGAGUAGUGGUCACUUCAGGAGAGGAUCCUGCCCCCAGGCUGCUCCUCAGGGCAGCAGGGCUCCGCUUGCCUGGCACCCUGUCCCUUGGCCAACACCCUUCCAGGAUACACCCUUGGUGCCCGUGUGGCCUGGGAAGUGGGACCUGUGCAGACAAGUCCUCGGGUGGGGGAGGCCCGCAGGAGCCAGGGCCUGGCAGCCCACGGCAGCAUCCUCACCUGGAGAAAGAGCGUCUCCAGGUGCACCCCCCACCCACAGGAAGUAGAGGACAGGAAGGAGCAUUCCUUGGUGAUGGGCACCUCCAUCGAUUCAGGGAGGAAGAGAUUUCUUCCUUCCGCUCAUUUACUCAUUGGCUUUGGUCGGUGCUUUGCAGACGUGCAUGAGGGUAGGCGUCUACACGUGCACAGCCAGGUCUUGUCACGGUCCUCUGCAUCUCCUCCCCUCCCCUGUCCUCCCCCUCCCUCUGUCCCAUGGGCUCCCCUCUGGGCCACUCUGCCCGCUCUCCCCCUCCCUGGUCAGCCUUCUGCCUGGCCUUGACUCUCCGGGUCUGGCUCAUGUCACUCAGCAUGACCUUCUCCAGCUCUGUCCAUCACCGGCCACAGACCUUAGGAGGAGCCCCUGUCCCCAUCUGGGGCAUGGUGGACGGGCCAUGUUCCUGCCUGCCAAGGGAGACUUUGCCCUGGCUGCCCUCCCACCCUCCUCCACGGGCCUGUCCUGCCCUGGGGAGAAACAUUCCGGUGUCUCGUCAGCCCCUGGGCCACGUCUUCUGGUGACAACGUCUGACAUGCCAUGUCUCUCUCUUGCAGGCGAGGAGUGUGGAUGCUGCCGUCACCUGUGUUCCCGACCCCAGACAGGGCGUGUGAGUCGUGAAUGAAGGAGGGAUGCGGGGGACCAGCACCCAGCCCGCCAGCUGUCUCUCCUCUUCCAGAGCCUGGUCCCCAACAGCACCUGGUGUGACUGACUGCUGCCUGGCCCUACCCGCCCCCGCCGCCGGCUCGGCAUUCUGAGCGAGGGGCGAGCGCUGCAUGAUGAAUGGCUGCAGAGCAAGGGGCACUGGCCAACGAGGGGAGGCCAGGUGCCACGGCAGGACGGUCUCAGAGAAGGGAGGUGUGCCUGGUCCUGGGCCCAUACGACCCAUGUGGGGGCCCCAGAUGACAGUGUUGACACUAGACACCAUUAAAAAAGUGUUUUAACCAACCAGGU
rnacentral:lncRNA from 1 species